GUUCAUGGGCCCACCAGUAUGAUUGUUCACUUUCCCCAUUCUGUAGUCUCCUGGACUUCUCCGUUCUCUCCACCCACUCAGUGACAAUGUUCCUCUUGCCCGAUCCCCUUUCUCCUUUCCUUAUUCUCUCUGCUCACUCAAAAUUUGCUGCUCCUCCCAUCAGCUUGCUCUCUUGUUCGCUGCCUUUAGGUUCCUCGUCCUCACCUCAAGCCACUCCGCAGCUGGUGCUGCCACAGGGACAACAGCUGGUUUGGCUCCUCGUACGCCUCCUCGUUCUCCUAGCCCUUUGCUGGUAAACUACGAUGGAUGAGGCGAGAUCAUCGAUCUGCACAGUGCCGUUGACCCGUUGUAAUUGGUGUCCGUGUAGUUGAUUUGGUCGUGGAUUUCAUCUCCCGUAGGCCGCACCCCUCUUAGAUCCAGCUUGGGUGUGAGGAUGGUGGCGAGGUUCUCUUCCCCAAGCGCGCAAGCAAGAGCGUUGUCGCUCUUUCCACUCGAGGCAGCUCGGGACAUGGUCCUCAUCCUCCACAGCGACAACAUUCUUCGAAGACUAAAUAAAAACGGAGGGAGUACAACUUUACUACAUCAAAACCACCGAGUUAAUGAAGACAGUGGUGGACCUAGAGAUCGUGCUUUGCUGUGGCGAUGGACGACGAUAAAUAUCAUGGCGGUGCUCCCGCUGGUCAUUGGACAGGGGAGUACCCUUCUCGGCCGCUUGAGACCUUGACCAGCUGCCCCGCUUGAUGAUCGUACAUACUGGAGGUGAUCUAGUUGCUCAACGGAGCCGGCUGGUGCCCAAUGCCGAAGUGCCACUGGUUGGAGGAAGUUGACCUUAAAGUGUUGUUCAAUGGAGGAAGAUGACGUACAAGGUUGUUCGGAUGCCGAGAGAUUUUUUAUAUGCAUGCGACCAUGAGAUUUUGGUCCUAUCUAGAGAUAUUCUGUUUGGAGAGAUCAAAUCUCUGCAAAUUUCUGAGAGUUUGGAUUUGUUUGGAGGGAUGGCAUCUUUGUACAGUUUUUUUGUGGGCAGGAUCUUCAGAGUUUGGUCAUGUUUCUUACCCUGUACGCCCUAUUUUUUUAUUACAUGGGAUGGUCUGAUCGCUCGUGGGAUGGUGCAGCCUGUUUUUUAUUAGUUGAUGGUCCAGCUUAUCAUGAGUUUGUGUA